rnacentral:piRNA from 1 species
UUGGGAUAUGUGACAUUAAUUCCUAUCAGC